rnacentral:lncRNA from 1 species
GUGUGCCCUACACCUCGGGCUGACGGUGGGCAUUGCUCUCCUGCUCCUGCUUCCCCUGGUGGCACAGCUUCGCUCCCCAUCACAGGAUUUUACCAAGAAUGAAGUUGCACAAUACACAGGGCAGUCGACUACACAUGGAAUAACUGUCAAGAAUGAACAGAAAUUCGUAUCGUGACAAGGAUCUAUUGCCUGAAAACAGGGGAUAUUCAUAUGCAAGUUACUUGGAAGUACUGGAUGCCUCACAUGAUAAUGUUUUGAGUCUUCAAGAUACUAACCACCUGAACUUUUUAGCAAUUUCAAACAAGAAACUGGUGAGCUGGAUUCAGUUGUCCCUAUGCUUCUAUAGGGACAGCUGUUGUAUGGAUAAGGCAUUUUUUCUGUAUGAAAAGCAGAUUUUACACACUGGGCUGAAGGAGUACAUUUAAAACUGCAGAACAGAGUUCUGCAAUCAAUUCCCUGCAGUUCAUGAAAACCACCAGAUGAAAGAUGAGGAACAGGUAUUUUUUGGAAGUUUUCAGCAACCAAAUCUCUUGGUCAGAGAUAAAUUUUGCUUCUUCUACAUAAAAAGUUAAACCCACAGGGUCUGUAUUUUUUUUUUUUUCCUUUUUAAACUACACUGAUUUCACCUUCAAAAGAGGAAGAGGGUGUUUCCAUUUUUAGUCUGAAAUUCUUUGAAGUAUUCCUGUUCCAUAGAACAGGGAUCUGGAUAGAAUUUGACAAAAAAUUAAUUCCUUAUUUUAGGUUUGGUUUCAGCAAUAAAGAAGUUAAUGAGAUCA